AGCCACUCACUCGUCCGAUGGGCAUGUGACGAAUACAUAAAUUUCUUUUCUUUCAUAAAAGUAGAUGUUCUAAGUAAAACCCUUCUAUUAUUCUUCCUUGAGAUUAAAAUUUCGAUGUCAGUUUCCUCCUCUAAAUUCCCAAGAUGGCCUCCUUCCCCAAGUAAUAAGCUUUCGAGGUGCAUGUAAUAUGGAUAGGAGACUGUAUAAAAGCUCCUCUGUUCUGCCCUGGCCAGUUGAUUGCCUACCGCUGCAACCAACCAAGAAUUUUUGAGCUUCACAGUUUUAUUCCAAGGUCAUCAUCAGCAAGCUGGAUAUGACUAAUUUAAAGCAACAUCUUCGUCACCUAUGGCAACCAUUGAAGAAGCAACUUCCACUUCCCAUAGAGCGGUAUUAUUGAAAGUCUGCGCAGAAGGAUCAAUGGGUUGAACUUGAACUUGAACUGAAGGUGCAACCAUGUUAUUAGGCUGCUGCUGAUUUUGUUGAUUGAUCAUGAAAAGAUUUUCAUUUUCAUUGAUCAAAGAAUCCAGAAACGAAGAGAAAGUAUCCUCAUUUCCAUUUCCGAUGUAAUUGUAUUCUGUAUUGCUUGGUCCUUGGUCACUUUGUAAACCCAUAACCAGACCAUUACAAUUAGGCCAGUUACCGUUACCAUCUUCGACAACUAUUGGGUUUUGAUAACGUUCUAGGUUAGUAAUAUUGAAAUUUUUGCUCA